rnacentral:rRNA from 1 species
GACGUAGGGCGCGAGCGUUGUCCGGAUUUAUUGGGCGUAAAGAGCUCGUAGGCGGCUUGUCGCGUCGACUGUGAAAACCCGCGGCUCAACUGCGGGCCUGCAGCCGAUACGGGCAGACUAGAGUACUGCAGGGGAGACUGGAAUUCCUGGUGUAGCGGUGGAAUGCGCAGAUAUCAGGAGGAACACCGAUGGCGAAGGCAGGUCUCUGGGCAUUAACUGACGCUGAGGAGCGAAAGCAUGGGGAGCGAACAGG